UACGUAGGAUGCGAGCGUUUGUCCGGAAUUAUUGGGCGUAAAGAGAACGUAGGUGGUUUCUUAAGUUCGAUCUUAAAGACCGGGGCUCAACCCCGGGAAUGGAUUGAAAACUGGGAGACUAGAGGAUGUUAGAGGACGGUGGAAUUCCCAGUGUAGCGGUGAAAUGCGUAGAUAUUGGGAGGAACACCAGUGGCGAAAGCGGACCGUCUGGGACAUUCCGUGACACUGAG
rnacentral:rRNA from 1 species